GCACUGCCUUUGACCCGGCGGGGUGCCCUGCCCGCGGCGCCGCUGGGCCAGGGAAAAAAAAGUGCUAGAGCGAAACGCUUGUUCAUAACUGGAGCUGCUCGGCCCGACCCGGGUAGCGCUUUUAAAAGCAAGUGACAGCU
rnacentral:snoRNA from 1 species